GCCGGUGUAGCUCAAUGGUAGAGCAGCUGUUUUGUAAACAGCAGGUUGCGAGUUCGAUUCCUGCCACCGGCU
rnacentral:tRNA from 1 species